CCUAGGGGGGCAGCAGUGGGGAAUAUUGGACAAUGGGCGAAAGCCUGAUCCAGCCAUGCCGCGUGUGUGAAGAAGGCCUUCGGGGUGUAAAGCACUUUCAGUGGGGAAGAAAGCCUUGGGGCUAAUACCCUCGAGGAAGGACAUCACCCACAGAAGAAGCACCGGCUAACUCCGUGCCAGCAGCCGCGGUAAUACGGAGGGUGCGAGCGUUAAUCGGAAUUACUGGGCGUAAAGCGCGCGUAGGCGGUCUGAUAAGCCGGUUGUGAAAGCCCCGGGCUCAACCUGGGAACGGCAUCCGGAACUGUCAGGCUAGAGUGCAGGAGAGGAAGGUAGAAUUCCCGGUGGAGCGGUGAAAUGCGUAGAGAUCGGGAGGAAUACCAGUGGCGAAGGCGGCCUUCUGGACUGACACUGACGCUGAGGUGCGAAAGCGUGGGUAGCAAACAGGAUUAGAUACCCUUGUAGUC
rnacentral:rRNA from 1 species